UUUUAAUUCAGAAAAUGAAGGAGAAAAAUAUUUAAAGAUUUUUGGUGAAAGUCCCGUAUUUUUUGGAUUAAAAAUGAAAUUAUUAUGAAUUAAACAAAAUAAAGCAAUUAAACAUAAAAUCAGAAAUUAAAAAGAAAAUAAAAAAAAACAAGGGUCAUCAGAUCUCCCUCAUUAAUUGAGGUGGCAGAUCUGAUGGCCAGAAGCGCGCAUUCCACCAACACUUGAGUGAAACGCGUGGCACAUUUGGUAAUCACAUUGGAUGAUCAGGAUUAGAACGUGGAAGGAAGAUUUGAUGGAUAUGAGCAAG
rnacentral:lncRNA from 1 species